UUGAGUGCCUAUGAGUGGGAUUAUGGCUCAGUCCAUUUGACUCCAGUUCACGGGGCUCGGGCUGCUGGGUUAAAAAUUGCCAUGCAGACCUUUGGGUUUGGGCUGGGGCUUGGUCUCUGAGACCUACCUCCCACACAGGGUGUCAGAGCCCGAAUGUCUACACUGAAAUAUUUAGCCCCACAGCUGGAGCCCAGGUCAGCCAACUUGGGCCAGCUUUAGCUGUGAUGCAGGUCUUUCAUUGCAGUGUAGAUGUUCCCUAAAGGCCCCACUCACGCUUGGGAUGAUGCUUGCCGCUCCCUAGGCUUGAUAUGCCUGCUUUCUCUUGAGAAGCAUGGUGACUUGCAAAGAGUCAGAAUUCUGCAUCUGGGCCCGCUUGUGUCUCACGCUGCCAUGCCUGGGCUGCCCUUACACGGCUCUGGGGGAUGGGGGAGAAUUGCCUGCGGGCGUGGAGAGGGUUAAUUGAGUCCCUCCCCUGUCUCUUGUUAGAUGGAAUAAAUGGGCUCAGAGAGUCAAAGGUGUUACAGGAUCCACCUGACCCAGCAUUAAACAGUUUUAAACAAGGUUCUGGAUGGUAUACAGAGACCUGAGCUUGCUCUGUCCCAUGGCAAACACACCACUAACAAUCCUUUUAACCUUUUAUUAAAGAUACCAGAAAGAAAAGUAGUUAAAGCAUCUGAAAUGUAAAGCAUUAAAGAAGCCUUUCUUUUUAACCAUUUCCCUUUAGCUGGAGAGAGUUUUUUAGAAGGGAAACCCCCCUUGUUUCUUAGAUGGUGGUAACUGUCUGUUUUGGGGACGGUGAAAUUGUGACUUGAAAUGGGCUGGAGCUGCUAUUGCCACUGUUCAAGUCUGAUCCCGUUUCCUAGCAGGCAAAGCCAGACAAAUGCAUGCAAAAGCGGGAGAGAAACAAACCAAGAAAAUGAAGGUUCUGUCUUUGAGGUUGCCUUUGACUUGUAACCUCACCGCUGGAAAACACAGGCCCAGCACGUGGUCUUGUCAGCCGCGCUUGAGACCUGGCACACUUGUACUAGCAUCGGGCUGUUUGGGGCACUGCAUUUAGCUGCCUUUUUCUGCUCACAGGCUUACAGCAGCGUUGAGAAAUAUACGCUCUUGGCCAGCUAAGCCAGACUCAUUAGACAGAAGGUGUGACGAAGUGGGACUGUUCUUAAUGUUUCCUCUGAAUAGUGUGGGGGUGCCUCAGUUUCCCCUAUGCAGUUCUUAAGUAUCUAGGGGGUGGAGUAAGGGUGUAUGAUCAUUGCAGAGCCCUAGAGGGCAGGUGUGUGCAGGAGUCUGGACACAGAGAAUGGCCGACACCCUGUUUCCUGGCAACUGAUGGCCUGGGCCCUUCCCCCCCCUGCAAGGUGAGAGCUGAAGGGUUGGAGAACAAAGGAAUCAGGUGACCACCUGGCCCGGGAAAGGAACAAAGCCCAGAGGAGGAGGGGCUGGAGGGGGUUUCAGUUUGGGGCUGGCUGGGACAUGGAGUGAAGUGCAGACGUGGUUGUCUGGCUCACUGCCCCCCAAAAUGGACCCAGCUGAGGGGUCCCGUUCUCUGCACCUGCAAGCUCUGUGUUAGACCAUGUUCCUGUCGUCUAAUAAACCUUCUGUUUUACUGGCUGGCUGAGAGUCACGUCUGACUGCGAAGUUGGGGUGCAGGACCCUCUGGCUUCCCCAGGAGCCCCGCCUGAGCGGACUCGCUGUGGGAAGCGCACGGAGGGGCAGAGGAUGCUGAAUGCUCCGAGGUCAGACCCAGGAAGGUGGAAGCUGAGUGAGCUGCGUGUCCUGAAGACAGGCUGCUCACAGAAAGGCGACUGCCCCAGAGUCCUGACUGGCUUCAUGGGGAGCAGUUCCAGAGCAUUGCCCAGGGACUCCGUGACAGAAGGCAAAAGGAGAGAGGUGGAUUGUUCUGAGACUUGGUGCCAGAGGAGGAGCGGAACGUCAGAAGAGUUGCCUAUGUGAGCCAGCUGCUACUAUGAGCCAGGAACGAACAGCUGAUCACCCAGGGAAAGCGAAAGGAGAAAUGCACUUAAUAGAAAAGACCCAGCGGAAGCCACAUGCAAACUUGAGCCUGUUUGACCAUUUGUCCUUCAAAAGCUCAGUCAAGGGGCUGUUUUGUUUUUCAGAUCGCAGCUUCGCUAUAUUCACAGCGACACUUAGGGCUGGCUCAGCAUCUCCAUUUUAAGUUCUCAUUUUCAGGGGGUUUGUGUGUGCUGGGGAAAAGAAAACGCACUCUGCCCUGACCCAAUCACUCUCAAGGUUGCAGCAUGGACAGGGAGGCCCCCUUCUCCCUGCUCCGAGAACUGGGUGUGGGGGGACAGCUGUGAGAUAAUCAGAUCUGAUGCAUGGGAUAGGGAACCCCCUGAAAUAUGGGAUGCUAUGGGACCUCCCCCAAACAUGGGACACAGAUUCCUGACAUGUGGGAUGCAGAUUUCCCUGUGGAUCAAGCCUUAAGAGAUUCACGUCCUGAUCUUGCAUACACUUACACGUGUGAGUAAUUUUUUGCAAGUACAGUGAAAUCUCCCCGUUGGCAUAGGGCCAGCACAUUAAGCCCCCGUUGAAGGCUUAAGUGACACUGACCUCACGCAGGCCCUCCGUGUGGGAGUGGAUUUCACCCACUGAGCUGUCCCACUAUUUCUGUGCCUAAGUGUUUGCAGGAUCAGGGCCUCACCUUUUGUGAUGGAGGCCUGGGGUCCUGCCGGUCCACCAUUACCGGGGGAUUGGCCCUUUGGCACAUGCAAGGCUCAGCGUGCCUCUUCCAGAGUCCCAUGAAAGCAGGUGAUUUGGGGGACUCCAGAUGGAACACAUGAAUGAAUGGGAUCACGACUGCCUCUGCGGAUUGCAUGAGGCAGAGUUCUGAGCGCCCUCUGGAAGAAGUCCAGUGUGGUGGGGGUUUUAGACAGACAGGCCCCAGGAGCAGGCUUGUGUUGAGUGGAACUUUGUCUGUUAAUAAAAACAAACCCCAGAAGGGAAAAUAUAAUUUGGAAGCCCAACGUAGGUACUGUUUGACUUACAGAAAGGAAACAGAGGCCUGGCCAGACCAAUGAUGGGGAAGGGAGUAAGCUGACUCUGUGGCAUCUCUCUCAGCAUGUGAGAGGUCGGAAUCUGUGCCCAGGUGUUGUCUAAGGAUCCUGGCCAGUCAUCCUCUACUCUGUAAUGCAGAGGAGCAUCUCAUGAGCUAGCGUAAUCAGUGCAGCUCGAUUGGUGCACAUCCAGCUACGUGUGCUUGCACCAGCUGAGUUGGCUGCUGAAUCUAUUCUAAGUGUUUUGGUUGUAAUCUUUAUAUUAAAAAAAAGUGAGGAUUUUUUUCUCAUUUAAAGAUGGUUUAAAUUUAACAGUGGCCAGUUGUCAACUGAGUCAUCCAUAAUUAGCAUGACAUGGUUGUGGUGUAUUUUUGGCUGUGGGAUAGAAGCAGCAGAGAAAGGCCAAGUUAUUGAAGUUUCAAUCCUGGUGUUCAGUAACUUUUUCUUUUCUCCCAAUGAUUUGGAAAAUAUGGGUUUUACGGCUCCUCAGAGGCAGCCGUCACAACAGAUGAGCGGGUAGCAGUUCCAGAGGAGAUGGGCUCCACAGGUCAGCGAGGGGAAAAGGAGAGGGAUAUAUAUGAGGGCUGGGGAUGUCCUCAUUUUGCUGCUGAAAGUUCAGUUCUUUAAAAAGGGCCUCGAUGGAGAUUUACACCUGAGUUGCCCCAGGGACAUCUCUAGCUUCAGGAAUGAGUGCAUCCCCCCCCCCCCCAUCAAAGCCAUGAUACCUUUGUCUGUUCCAACUGGUCAUCUGUCCCCAGAGGGGAUGGGGGUCGAAGGUUCUAUCUUGUGGGACCAGCUGAUGGGGCUACCUUGUGGGGGGUGGAGUGAAAGCACGUGGCAGGCGUGGGUUUUGGCAGUCUUGGCACAGUGGCUGCUGUGGCGUGAGGUUUGUGGGGGUGGCUGGGUCACAGGGCUAGCAUCCUAGACUACUUGCUCCUGUGAUGGGAGGGAGACAGACACACACAGUGCCAUAUGUGAGCUUUGAUCAAAGUUAAGGGCUUAGCGAAGCACCAAAGCCCCUCAGCUGGCUCUAGUGAUGCUAUCACAGGCUUCAGUAGUAACAGCGUCGGGUCUGUGACCCAACCUGCCAUGUGCCUGGAAAUUCAGAGUUAAGCCUGAAACUCCAUUUGCAAUGGGUGGGUUUCAACCCUAUGCUGAGGAUCUGCACAAGGCACCAUUGUAUGGUCUUUGGCAAAAGAGCAUUUUGGUGUGUGUUUGUACAAUGCCUAGCAUGAUGGGGGGCCUGGUCCGUGGGCUACGGUAAUAUAAAUAAUGUAUGCACCACUGAAGCCCUAGGUAAUAGAAAAAGGGUCUCUUAAUUCCUAGUCUGAGCACCAUGGGAUGUAAUGAGUGCGAAAGCUACAUGUUGGCCUUCUGGACAGGCGAGAACGCCCCUAGCCCCAGUGAAGUAGGUUUGUGCCAUCCUGGGGUGGUGAACACUUGCAUCUCCCAUUGACUUCAGUGACAGCUGCAAGCGCUCCUCAGCUGGUCUCUGGAAUGUGCGUGUGAAUUACUUCCAGUCCAGUUAACCAUUGGACUGGCUCUUCGACCUAGACCUGGGGCUCAUGGCUGUCAUGCCCUUCUCGUAUG